CUCUUUACAGAGCUGCAAAGAUCCCACAGUUUUGGUUAUUAAACCAAAUUGGCUACUGCCCAAUUUGUUGAUUUGGGGAUUAUAGGGAACUCUGAAACUCAGGUGCACCUACACCAACCCACCAACCAGAACUAUCUCACCUAAUACAGAGUUUUGCUAUUGUUGACCAGUCUGGAGUACAGUGGCACAACCUCGACUGACUGCAACCUCAGCCUUCUGGUUUCAAGCAAUUCUCCUGCUUCAGCCUCCCAAGUAGCUGGGAUUACAGGCACCCACUGACAUGCCAGAAAAUUAAAGCAACAGAAGAAUCUUCCGGUUUUCCAUCAUGACAAAUACCUGUCUCCAAGCAUCUGGAGCCACACACUCCUGCCCAUACUCGUGUCUAGAAGCCCAGGAGAGCUGGCUUGAGCAAUGGCUUUCUCUAUCAUUCGAAGGAUUCCAGAGCAGUUUCAUGCUGUUGAGUAUCAAAUCUACGAUUUAUAAUUUUUGUUUGUUUUCUUGUUUUCUCAAUGGUAUGCUGGCAAAUGUUGAAUUAUGGGAUAUGAAAAAAUGUAUACGUAUAAGUAUGUAACUACAGUCAUUGGAAUUUUCACUUACACAAUAAUGUAUAGCACAGAAUUAAGAGAUAAUAAAAUAUACUUCAUAUAUAUAUAUGCUCUUCA
rnacentral:lncRNA from 13 species